rnacentral:rRNA from 1 species
CUGUCAGUGGCGGACGGUGAGUAACGCGUAGGUAUCUAUCCUUGGGGUGGGGGGACGAACUAGUGGGAAACUACAGCUAAUACCGCAUGAUAACUGAGGUUUAAAGGCGCAAGUCGCCUGGGGAGGAGCCUGCGUACGAUUAGCUAGUUGGUGGGGUAAAGGCCUACCAAGGCGACGAUCGUUAGCUGGUCUGAGAGGAUGAUCAGCCACAUUGGGACUGAGACACGGCCCAA